GACGAACGCUGGCGGCGUGCCUAAUACAUGCAAGUAGAACGCUGAAGAGAGGAGCUUACUCUUCUUGGAUGAGUUGCGAACGGGUGAGUAACGCGUAGGUAACCUGCCUUGUAGCGGGGGAUAACUAUUGGAAACGAUAGCUAAUACCGCAUAACAAUGGAUGACACAUGUCAUUUAUUUGAAAGGGGCAAUUGCUCCACUACAAGAUGGACCUGCGUUGUAUUAGCUAGUAGGUGAGGUAAUGGCUCACCUAGGCGACGAUACAUAGCCGACCUGAGAGGGUGAUCGGCCACCCUGGGACUGAGACACGGCCCAGACUCCUACGGGAGGCAGCAGUAGGGAAUCUUCGGCAAUGGGGGCAACACUGACCGAGCAACGCCGCGUGAGUGAAGAAGGUUUUCGGAUCGUAAAGCUCUGUUGUAAGUCAAGAACGGGUGUGAGAGUGGAAAGUUCACACUGUGACGGUAGCUUACCAGAAAGGGACGGCUAACUACGUG
rnacentral:rRNA from 1 species